UUUGAGUUUUAUUUUUUCAUAUUUCUCUGUUGUAAUUUCAAUAGUAAGCUAUAAUUUUUUUUGUUAUCGCUGAUAGGUUUACACUACGUCACCAGUUGAUUUGUUGUUAGACUUGCUUUCAUCCAAGUAUUUCAAGUAUAUUGAUGUCCGUUAUUUUACCUACAUUAGCUUGGAAAAGCUUUCCAAAGUUCUGGAUGCAAAUGGGAUUUCUGAGGAUAAAAACAUCAAGACAGACGGUAAAGAUGUGGAGCAUCCUAGGGAAAGCAUGGAUCAAUUAAUUCACAAGAUUCAUUAUUUGAUAUCACACAUCCCCUCUCUGGAAAGCUCAGUUGAUAAAACUGAUCAUGAGAUGUGGAGUGGAUCGGGUGAAUAUGAAGACCUUUCUGGGAAUCUGAAAG